rnacentral:rRNA from 1 species
UACGAAGGGUGCAAGCGUUAAUCGGAAUUACUGGGCGUAAAGCGUGCGUAGGCGGUUCUUUAAGUCUGCUGUGAAAUCCCCGGGCUCAACCUGGGAAUGGCAGUGGAUACUGGAGAGCUAGAGUGUGAUAGAGGAUGUGGAAUUCCCGGUGUAGCGGUGAAAUGCGUAGAGAUCGGGAGGAACAUCAGUGGCGAAGGCGGCCAUCUGGAUCAACACUGACGCUGAGGCACGAAAGCGUGGGGAGCAAACAGGG